UGUUAACACCAUCGAAUUUCAUAACCAAUGCAGAGAAGGUGAAGGUCGGAAAUAUGUUUUUGGUACUCCGGGUAUCAAGUCAUCAGACUUUAUUUGCACUGACGGUACUAAUGAAUAUUUGAUUUUAAUAAGCGGGACUACUGGGAGUAGUAGUCCAUUUGGUGGCGUUGAAAAUAAAGUAGUUAAAUCUAUAUUCUUUAUGACAAAUUUGAACGUUUAUGGACCCUAUGGUAAUUAUAAUAAUGGCACUGCCUUCUCGCAUGAUGUGAAAGACGGGGUGGUUGUAGGA